AAGUCGUAACAAGGUUUCCGUAGGUGAACCUGCGGAAGGAUCAUUACCGAAGUACAGGCCCUCUCGUAGGGCUAAACUUCCACCCUUUGUGAACUACACUUUGUUGCUUUGGCGAGACGCCCUCGUGGCCACCGGCUCCGGCUGGUGCGCGCUCGCCAGAGAAAACCCAAACCCAAACCAUAUUUAGUGAUUUGUCUGAAAACAAGUUUAAUUAUUUAAAACUUUCAACAACGGAUCUCUUGGUUCUG
rnacentral:misc_RNA from 1 species